rnacentral:rRNA from 1 species
AGAAUCAACGCUGGCGGCGUGCCUAACACAUGCAAGUCGCACGAGAAAGCGGACUUCGGUCUGUGAGUAAAGUGGCGCACGGGUGAGUAACACGUGAAUAAUCUACCUUCGAGUGGGGAAUAACUGAGAGAAAUCUUAGCUAAUACCGCAUAACACUUACGAGUCAAAGCAGCAAUGCGCUUGAAGAGGAGUUCGCGGCAGAUUAGUUAGUUGGCGGGGUAAUGGCCCACCAAGACGAUGAUCUGUA